UACUAAAGUCUCCAUCCACCCCGAU
rnacentral:piRNA from 1 species